rnacentral:rRNA from 1 species
GACGAACGCUGGCGGCGUGCUUAACACAUGCAAGUCGAACGGAAAGGCCUGCUUUCCCUUGUGGAUUGCGGGUACUCGAGUGGCGAACGGGUGAGUAACACGUGAGUGAUCUGCCCCCAACUUGGGUAUAAGCCUGGGAAACUGGGUCUAAUUCCCGAUAGGACUGCAGGGUGGUGCCUGUGGUGGAAAACGAUUUUCUAGUGGUUGGGGAUGAGCUCGCGGCCUAUCAGCUUGUUGGUGGGGUAAUGGCCUACCAAGGCGGCGACGGGUAGCCGGCCUGGGAGGGUGGACGGGCACAUUGGGACUGAGAUACGGCCCAGACUCCUACGGGAGGCAGCAGUGGGGAAUAUUGCACAAUGGGCGGAAGCCUGAUGCAGCGACGCCGCGUGGGGGAUGACGGCCUUCGGGUUGUAAACUCCUUUCGACCGAGGAAGCCACCUGGUUGGAAGGGUGGUGACGGUAGUGGUAGAAGAAGCACCGGCUAACUACGUG